rnacentral:rRNA from 1 species
AGAGUUUGAUCCUGGCUCAGAUUGAACGCUGGCGGAAUGCUUUACACAUGCAAGUCGAACGGCAGCACGGACUUCGGUCUGGUGGCGAGUGGCGAACGGGUGAGUAAUAUAUCGGAACGUGCCCAGUCGUGGGGGAUAACGUAGUGAAAAUUACGCUAAUACCGCAUACGAUCUAAGGAUGAAAGCGGGGGAUCGCAAGACCUCGCGCGAUUGGAGCGGCCGAUAUCAGAUUAGGUAGUUGGUGAGGUAAAGGCUCACCAAGCCAACGAUCUGUAGCUGGUCUGAGAGGACGACCAGCCACACUGGAACUGAGACACGGUCCAGACUCCUACGGGAGGCAGCAGUGGGGAAUUUUGGACAAUGGACGCAAGUCUGAUCCAGCCAUUCCGCGUGCAGGACGAAGGCCUUCGGGUUGUAAACUGCUUUUGUACAGAACGAAAAGGUCUCUAUUAAUACUAGGGGCUCAUGACGGUACUGUAAGAAUAAGCACCGGCUAACUACGUGCCAGCAGCCGCGGUAAUACGUAGGGUGCAAGCGUUAAUCGGAAUUACUGGGCGUAAAGCGUGCGCAGGCGGUUAUAUAAGACAGAUGUGAAAUCCCCGGGCUCAACCUGGGAACUGCAUUUGUGACUGUAUAGCUGGAGUGCGGCAGAGGGGGAUGGAAUUCCGCGUGUAGCAGUGAAAUGCGUAGAUAUGCGGAGGAACACCGAUGGCGAAGGCAAACCCCUGGGCCUGCACUGACGCUCAUGCACGAAAGCGUGGGGAGCAAACAGGAUUAGAUACCCUGGUAGUCCACGCCCU